rnacentral:rRNA from 1 species
UCCAGACUCCUACGGGAGGCAGCAGUGAGGAAUAUUGGUCAAUGGACGCAAGUCUGAACCAGCCAUGCCGCGUGCAGGAUGACGGCUCUAUGAGUUGUAAACUGCUUUUGUACGAGGGUAAACCCCGAUACGUGUAUCGGGUUGAAAGUAUCGUACGAAUAAGGAUCGGCUAACUCCGUGCCAGCAGCCGCGGUAAUACGGAGGAUCCGAGCGUUAUCCGGAUUUAUUGGGUUUAAAGGGUGCGUAGGCGGUUUGAUAAGUUAGAGGUGAAAUGUCGGGGCUCACCCCCGAAACUGCCUCUAAUACUGUUGGACUAGAGAAUAGUUGCGGUAGGCGGAAUGUAUGGUGUAGCGGUGAAAUGCUUAGAGAUCAUACAGAACACCGAUUGCGAAGGCGGCCUGCUGGACCGCGACUGACGUUGAGGCUCGAAAGCGUGGGGAGCGAACAGGAUUAGAUACCCCUGUA